rnacentral:rRNA from 1 species
AACGACUCUCGGCAACGGAUAUCUCGGCUCUCGCAUCGAUGAAGAACGCAGCGAAAUGCGAUACUUGGUGUGAAUUGCAGAAUCCCGCGAACCAUCGAGUCUUUGAACGCAAGUUGCGCCCGAAGCCUUCUGGCCGAGGGCACGUCUGCCUGGGUGUCACUC